UUCAGACUUUCAACAAUAUAAUUUUUGUAAUGUGAAGUGUCAGGGUUGCUUCAACAUUGUGACCACUAUAAUUCAGCCUUUGUCCCGGUUUCCUUCGCAUUAGCAAUCAAGAGGGGGAUAACUCGCAUUUGAUUGGCUAAUAUUCUUUGAAGGAAGGAUAAAUAAUAAGCUGACAAUGAAACGAACGGUUAGUGAAGUGGAAAAAGUGAGUGAACAAAAUACUGAAGUUUCAACUUCAAAAUCAUCCUAACCACCUCCGAAAAAGAGACGAGGCCUGACACGAUGCAAGAAUGUCGUAAACGCGACAACUUUUUUACCAUUAAGGGUUAAUAAGUAUGGACAGCCGAUCAGCCUUGGAAGUGGUACAUAUACUAAUUAUUUGGGAACACUUGCCCGAAAUGGUAAAUUAGCUCCUUUGUGCUACAAAACUUGGUGGGAGAUGCCUAAAUGGCUUAACGAGGAUAUAUGGAACAUUGUAAAGAGAAAGUAUGAUGUGGAAAUCAUGUCAAAAUAGUGGACAUUAUCCUCCAUCGGGAAAAAAUGGAGGGGGUACAAGUGUAAAUUAAAAAGUGAAUACUACUCAGUUAGGGAUACUGAUGCAGAAAGAUUGGCAAAUCCACCAGCUGAUGUUGAAAAGGAGCAAUGGGAAUUUUUGGUUAGACAUUGGGGUACGCCUAUGGCGAAGGAAAAUUUAUACAUACAUAUACUGGUUAUAUAUAUGCAAUGGAGGUUUGUGUGCCGGCGCAUGAAACAUGGGUUAAUAAUCGAGUGUGAGCGAGUAUAGAAGAUGGGGUGCACGCGGAUUCUGGGCCACAGAUGCAUUGAGGUGAUGUUGAAAAUAAUCCAGUGUAUCGCGGGACACAUUAAUAUGGUGCGCACAUUUGUUCAAAUUCUACUUUUCCGGACACUGCGGGGCCUGUUCGGGGCACUUUUUGAGAUUUUCGAUAAAUAGGGAGCUAUAGAAAGAAAAAUCAGAUUUUCUCUCUCUUUCUCUCUCCCAUGGCCGGCCCUAGCUCCUCCCAUGGCUGCCAUCUUCUCUCUCCUCUUUUGAGCCUCUUCCCUUCAAUGAAAAGUCAUAGUGCCUCGCGUUUUAUGUUUGCCUUGGCGAGGCCUUUGAUUCCACCGAUUGGAAUCUCGUUUUGGCAAUUUCUUGAGUUCGGGUUUGAAGUCAAGUUGUGAUUUUUAUAGGGCUUCCUUUGGGUUCUUGUUCACCGUGUUGUUCUCGAAAAAACCUAGAAGUUUCGUCGGAUUCGGAGCCGUUUCAUUUCGGUGGGGAUUUGAGAUUUCAUCUCAAAUGGAGGUAGGGGAUGUUUUAGGAUUUUGUAUGUGUUU